GAGUUUGAUCUUGGCUCAGAUUGAACGCUGGCGGCAGGCCUAACACAUGCAAGUCGAGCGGAUGACGGGAGCUUGCUCCUUGAUUCAGCGGCGGACGGGUGAGUAAUGCCUAGGAAUCUGCCUGGUAGUGGGGGACAACGUUUCGAAAGGAACGCUAAUACCGCAUACGUCCUACGGGAGAAAGCAGGGGACCUUCGGGCCUUGCGCUAUCAGAUGAGCCUAGGUCGGAUUAGCUAGUUGGUGGGGUAAUGGCUCACCAAGGCGACGAUCCGUAACUGGUCUGAGAGGAUGAUCAGUCACACUGGAACUGAGACACGGUCCAGACUCCUACGGGAGGCAGGCAGUGGGGAAUAUUGGACAAUGGGCGAAAGCCUGAUCCAGCCAUGCCGCGUGUGUGAAGAAGGUCUUCGGAUUGUAAAGCACUUUAAGUUGGGAGGAAGGCAGUAAGUUAAUACCUUGCUGUUUUGACGUUACCGACAGAAUAAGCACCGGCUAACUCUAGUGCCAGCCGCCGACGG
rnacentral:rRNA from 1 species